CGAAGUAGGAAUAAGCGCGUUAAGUUGUCAGCGGCUGGGGAGUCGCCCUGAACCGAAAAGUCCCGACGGGGCUUGCGAUGCUUUUUCCGCACCCGUUG
rnacentral:ncRNA from 1 species